rnacentral:rRNA from 1 species
ACGGAAGGCAGCAGUGAGGAAUAUUGGUCAAUGGGCGGAAGCCUGAACCAGCCAAGUCGCGUGAAGGAUGAAGGUAUUAUGUAUUGUAAACUUCUUUAGACGUAGAGAAAUAAGCGGGACGCGUCCCGCGAUGCUAGUAUGCGUAGAAUAAGGGUCGGCUAACUCCGUGCCAGCAGCCGCGGUAAUACGGAGGACCCGAGCGUUAUCCGGAUUUAUUGGGUUUAAAGGGUGCGCAGGCGGAGGAUUAAGUCAGCGGUGAAAUUUUCAUGCUCAACAUGAAAACUGCCAUUGAUACUGGUCCCCUUGAGAGAUGUCGAGGAUGGCGGAAUGUGAUGUGUAGCGGUGAAAUGCUUAGAUAUGUCACAGAACACCGAUUGCGAAGGCAGCUGUCCAGAGAUCAUCUGACGCUCAGGCACGAAAGCAUGGGUAUCAAACAGGAUUAGAUACCCUGGUA